CUCCGCCCUGGAGACGGGAAAAGCGCCCGGAGCUCGGGAAAGGCCGCGGGGGAACCGCCGGGACAGCGGGUCCUGCCCCUCUGCUCCGCCCUGGAGAGGCCGCGGCUGCGGUGCUGUGCCCAGCUCGGGGCUCCGGGGUCGCAGGAAGACGGAUUCUUCAGGCACUUUCCCCACCACAGGCUGCGGAUCCCAAGGCCAUUGAACCCUCUGGGACCUGGACACUGGAGCUCCCGUCCUGCCUUCUCCCUUAUCUCUGUGUUUGGCAGGUGUCUGGCCAUGGAUUUCACACUUCCACUGACCUCUGAGCGCUGCCAAGGCGAGGGAGGCACAUCGGGCAGAUAACGUCCCCAUUCCACCUCCACCUCCCCAAGGCCCUUAGGCUCUGGGGAGACUUAUUUAAAAAUAUGCCAGAUUUAAGGUCUGUCUCAAGGCAAAUAAAAACUGUGGAUUGUUUAAAUCA
rnacentral:lncRNA from 1 species